UGGCCAUUACCUCACACUCACGUA
rnacentral:sRNA from 1 species